rnacentral:rRNA from 1 species
UACAGAGGUCCCGAGCGUUGUUCGGAUUCACUGGGCGUAAAGGGUGCGUAGGUGGCGUGGUAAGUUUGAUGUGAAAGCUCAGGGCUUAACCCUGAAAUGGCAUUGAAUACUACUGUGCUGGAGGUUUGGAGGGGGGACUGGAAUUCUUGGUGUAGCAGUGAAAUGCGCAGAUAUCAGGAGGAACACCAGCGGCGAAGGCGGCGCUCUGGGCCGGUACUGACACUGAGGAGCGAAAGCGUGGGUAGCAAACAGG